rnacentral:rRNA from 1 species
UACGUAGGGUGCAAGCGUUGUCCGGAAUUAUUGGGCGUAAAGGGCGCGUAGGCGGCAAUUCAAGUCAUCUGUGAAAUCUCCGGGCUUAACCCGGAACGGUCAGGUGAUACUGUUUUGCUAGAGUGCGGAAGGGGCAAUCGGAAUUCUCGGUGUAGCGGUGAAAUGCGUAGAUAUCGAGAGGAACACCAGAGGUGAAGACGGGUUGCUGGGCCGACACUGACGCUGACAGCGCGAAAGCCAGGGGAGCAAACGGG